rnacentral:rRNA from 1 species
AAUACCGCAUAUUCUGUGAGCAGGAAAGAGGGGGAUCGCAAGACCUCUUGCUUUAGGAGCGGCCGAUGUCGGAUUAGCUAGUUGGUGAGGUAAAGGCUCACCAAGGCGACGAUCCGUAGCGGGUCUGAGAGGAUGAUCCGCCACACUGGGACUGAGACACGGCCCAGACUCCUACGGGAGGCAGCAGUGGGGAAUUUUGGACAAUGGGCGCAAGCCUGAUCCAGCCAUGCCGCGUGAGUGAAGAAGGUCUUCGGGUUGUAAAGCUCUUUCGGUGGGGAAGAAAUUGCUUCGGUUAAUACCUGGAGUAGAUGACGGUACCCGCAUAAGAAGCACCGGCUAACUACGUG